CAAGCAGACGUUUCCUAUUGCCCAGCAUCUGCUGUUUGAGACGUUUCCCAAAGAAGAGGCCAAGUAGGUCUCCUGAAGUUUAAUGCGCACAUCAUCAGAAGCUCGAGUGUGCCUCUGUUUGUCGUGCUGAGAAAUGCUGUGAGCGGUCAGAACCAAGAAAAAUUGGGCUUUGGGACCCUUAUUACAGGAUGGACUUGAUUCAAGAACGUGUUGGCCUUCAUCCCAUGGCUCCAGUCUUCGUUCUCAGUGCUGCCCUUUUUCACUCCUCUCUGCCACCUCCUCAUAACUCCUGGCUGUUCUCCAGUUCUUGUCCUGCUGCUGGGAUUGCUCCAGGAGAAGGAACACAGGAAAUCCCUGUGGGACAGGCUUGUUGCUCUCAGCCCCGGUGUCAAGUACCACAAAGCCUGAAUCAACCAGAAGCAGCUGCUGCAGGGCUCUUAGUCCCUGUGCUGCAGCUUGGGCAACAUAUGUGCUUGCCACAGAUCACAUUUCCUGGGAAUAUGGGUACCAAGCUCUGA
rnacentral:lncRNA from 7 species